CUCCCUCUCCGGAAUCGAACCCUAAUUCUCCGUCACCCGUUACCACCAUGGUAGGCCUCUAUCCUACCAUCGAAAGUUGAUAGGGCAGAAAUUUGAAUGAAACAUCGCCAGCGCCAAGGCCGUGCGAUUCGACAAAGUUAUCAUGAUUCACCGCAACACCGGGCAAGCCCGCAUCGGCCUUUUAUCUAAUAAAUACGUCCCUUCCAAAAAGUCGGGAGUUUGUGCACGUAUUAGCUCUAGAAUUACUACGGUUAUCCGAGUAGCAAGGUACCAUCAAAGAAACUAUAACUGAUUUAAUGAGCCAUUCGCAGUUUCACAGUACAAAAGAGUUUAUACUUACACAUGCAUGGCUUAAUCUUUGAGACAAGCAUAUGACUACUGGCAGGAUCACCAGGUAGCUCUUCCUCCUCCCCCGGGGGCUCGGACUAUAACCGUCUUUACAAAAUUGGCCUUUUUUUUCUUUUUUCCUUUCUCGAUGACACCUUCUUUUUCUUUUUCACGAUGCGUCAGACCUCCCCGGUUUUUUCCCUUUUCGGGCACACACACCCCCCAAGAAGAAACCAAAACACACCAUCAUUCACGUUCCAAAAGGGGGGUCCUUCCCCCCCUCUCUCACUCUCCCUCUCGAGAUACCUGUUCCGGUUCGAACUGUGCUGUGUCGAACUUUAGCACCACCCCCUUUUCCCCCCUUCACACACCCCGCACAAGACUCUGUGCGCCCACCUCCUGGAACUGGAUAUGAAAGCCCAAGGGGCCCUUUUCUUGCCCUGUGCAUGGUCCACCAUCCGAAGAAAUGCUGACUAAUGCUGUGCCUGUGAAUGGCAGUGGACGAGAUAAGGAAGAUGGACACCCCAACCUCCCCCCCCCUCCGACCCCCAAGUUCGCGACCCGCUCGACGGACAACCCCAGGCUGACUAACAUGAUGAGGUAUCACCUCCAGAGAAGUCCCCUCCGGUUGGAGGGGCUCCGCCUCGCUACUAGCUUUCCGGUGCCUUGCAGGAAAUGCCGAACCCCACCCUUCCAUGGAUCCCGUCGUGAUCUACAACAAACAUGAAACAUAAUACGCACCCCUUACUGCGCCGCGUCUGUUUCCCGGAAAAACUACUUGGAGCUGAUUGAAUUGUGCUAUCCGUCCUUGAGGUCCCCUCCGAACGCCAAGAGAGCCUAGCCACGAAAACCCGUUCGAUGGUACCGAACUAGUAUUAUAUGGCCUGUAUCUCUCUCCCAACAUCCGGCUGGAACAACCCCCCAGAACUUCCUGCGAAGUUGACCCCUCCAUCACCUCAUCCGAUCGAUUUCAUCCACCUCUCGCCUCCUACCUCCGCACCACCUGAAGUACAUUCUAAGCCCUGGCCCCCAAACCUUGACGGAGAGGGGGGUCGAUAGUCCACUUCUUAAGCAAUAGUCCGGUGGGGGAGAACGGCUAACCCGCACCUUAUAUUGACAUAGGCUAGCAUAUGGAGUACCCUCGUUGAACCAAGGCCCCCCGACCCGCUUUGGCUGAUCGGGGGGUUCCGGGAGCAAAUUCUGGUGGGCGAGUACAGUGGAUCCUAGAUCGAUCGAACAAGGUAACUUCGAAAACAAACUCCCGAAUCUUCCCAAACAGCUCUUCCAUAGUUUUUCCAGUCCGCAGCAACGACUCAGGUUGGAUGGGCGAAAUCACGACGGCAGCCACAAAAAAAUGGAUCUCCGACAUCACACAACCCGACACACCUAAGUUUCGCGAGGCUCGGCCCCUCUUCCCCUUCGGAUGUCCCCUUCGGUACACCACCACAUCAUGCCAUCCAGUCUGGAGCGUCGCCGACUCCCGUUGGCCAAGGUAGGGCCAACACAAGAGUAGCGGACGAACCAGUCAUCUGGUCUUACCGGAGAAAGGGAGAGGUAGACUGCCACCACCAAACCCCACCCAGCACACACCAGGCAGCAAAAAGCCAUCAUCCUAAAAGAUGGUCCCACUUCACAAGACGAGGAGGUCCCCGUCCUUCAUUCCAACCCCAGGUGAGAACACACACACCCUUCUUUGCGAUGGAUAAAAGGCAAAAAGAGAGGGCAAAAAAGCCAACGGCAAAUCCAACCAGACCCCCAGAGGCACACACCACAAAAAGUGAAGCCAGAGAGAGCCAGACAAAGAGAAGGAUAGAGAGAGAGGGAGAGUUAGACCCCCCCGGAAGAGAAUCAUAGGUGCUGCGGCCUUUUUCGGGAAUGUGACCAGGAAAGAGAGAACCGACGAGGCCGAUACACACAUUAAAAAAUGAAAAAGUAACCAUCACCGCGAAGGAUUUCCUCAAAAGACAAAUCAGCAAGAAGUAUGUCAAUCCCGGGGGCCCAUCGCCCCUCCAAAUUAAUGGAGGGGUCGGAUAGAAAUUUAUAGAAAUGUUACUUUUGUGAACCCCUAGCCGACGAGAGACUCUCACCGGUUUCGAAGUUCCAUUUUCACAUUCCGACCUGGGAUGUUAUGACUCCUCGGCCCACACUGCGAACGCGUCCCACACCCCCUCCAGUUUAUCAGGAAUUUCACCUGAGCUUGCAAUAGAGAUCGAGCGCGGUGGCGGUCACAGUGGUGGUCGACCAGGCGGAGCUGAACGGCCUCGGCAACACUUCUCCCCACCCUCCCAAAUGAAUGAGAGAAUGGCUUGACAUACCGAGGCCAUCGCCCCCCGCCAAAAAUGGUUACUAGCUCUUGGGACUCGCUGCGACGUUACGCGUAUCGGCACAAGACCAACCCUCUUUUUCAGUCGCCCGCGCACCAAAAAAAAUUUUGGCAGCGGGACUCACAAUCCUUGACAGCCAGCUCACCAUAUAAUACUCGGCGACCCUCCGCGGGACCUCCUCAGAGGGUCGCGUCGCCGGGAAACUAACCCCCACUCCUCACUGAUCCAAGGUAACACGCCAGAAGUAUCCAGGUAACCCCAGUAGUAUCCAGGUAUCCCCCCUGCGAACGUCGGUACUGGGCUCAAAGAGGCAGCGAGCAGUCGGGACCCGUAGGCACCGAGCAACCGUCACCCCCUCACGACUUUUCCCGAGACGCUUCAGAGGAACCCUUCCCCCACAUAGUACUCUCUGUGGGAUUCGGCAGGCCCCCCCGUCCUACUGCACUAAGGAAGUUCCGAGACACACUUUUUUUUGUGGAAGACCACCCACCCUCCCUGUCCUGCCUGCUAUCCCGCCGCGACUCCUGGUCCCGGCCCUCCUCCCCGACUUCCUCCUUGUCCCGCUGCGAGUCCCGGACCUCCUCCCCCACUACCUACUCCCGCCGCGAGUCCAGUCCCGGCCUUCCUCCACCUACUCCCGCCGCGAGUCCCAGUCCCGGCCUUCCACCUCCUCCCCCACUUCCUAGUCCCGUCGCGAGUCCCGGACCUCCUCCCCCUCUUCCUAGUCCCGGCGCGAGUCCCGGACCUCCUCCUUCUCUUCCUUGUCCCGCCGCGAGUCCCAGUCCCGUCGCGAGUCCCGGACUUCCUCCUACUUCCUCCUCCUCUUCCUUGUCCCGCCGCGACUCCCAGUCCCGGCGCGAGUCCCGGACUUCCUCCUCCUCUUCCUUGUCCAGUCCCGGACUUCCUCCUCCUCUUCCUUGUCCCGCCGCGACUCCCUAGUCCCUAGUCCCGGCGCGACUCCCUAGCCGUCGCCUCCCGGGACUCCGCCGCGACUCCCUAGUCCCGGCGCGAGUCCCAGUCCCGUCGCGAGUCCCGGUCCCGUCGCGAGUCCCUUGUCCCGCCGCGACUCCCUAGUCCCGGCGCGAGUCCAGUCCCGGCGCGAGUCCCAGUCCCGUCGCGAGUCCCUUGUCCCGCCGCGACUCCCUAGUCCCGGCGCGAGUCCCAGUCCCGUCGCGAGUCCCGGACUUCCUCCUCCUCUUCCUUGUCCCGCCGCGACUCCCUAGUCCCGGCGCGAGUCCCAGUCCCGUCGCGAGUCCCGGACUUCCUCCUCCUCUUCCUUGUCCCGCCGCGACUCCCUAGUCCCGGCGCGAGUCCAGUCCCGUCGCGAGUCCCGGACUUCCUCCUCCUCUUCCUUGUCCCGCCGCGAGUCCCGACCUCUGGCGCGAGUCCCAGUCCCGUCGCGAGUCCCGGACUUCCUCCUCCUCUUCCUUGUCCCGCCGCGAGUCCCGACCUCUUGUCCCGCUCCAUCAUUUUUUAAAAAUCAAUUUUAAAAUUAACUCCCUGUCUCGACUCCUUGCUGGCCGCCCAGUCUUGCGCCUAGACAGAAAUAUAAAUAAAAAAUAAAAUAAAUUGGUGAAUUAAAAAUAUUAAAGUAUUUAAUUAACUGGAAUAAGGUAGAAAAAUAAAAGGCAGAAGAAUACUAAAUUGAUUUUUUCAAGUGCCACGUGUACCUUGCUGAUGUGGCUGCCACGUGGUAGUCCAUGUCAUGUCAAAAAUCCACUAAAUCGUUUACAUGUCACUUUGGAGAUAAAUUUGUGUGUGUGCAAUCAAUUGGUUGUACAAAUAUGUUAAUGACUUGCUAACUAAUGCAUCGUACAGGUAAUCAUUGCCCACUAACUAAUCCAUCACCACUGAAACUUAAUGUCUUCAAUUCUUCAUCCUUCACACUCCACAUCCAAUUUAUUUUUGUUUGUGUGAAUUCUUAAAUCUAUCUUCUCUUUACAUCCCAACUUUCUAAACCCUUUAUAUAAUCUAUGUGAAUGUGAAUCCUAGAAUCUAGGUUAUAUACCCCAUGCAAACCCUAAACCCUAAACCCUAACCCCUAACCCCUAACCCCUCACUCAUACUUUGUUCUUUUAAUCAUACAACCUAGACUCUGAAAUUUAAUCUCAUAACAUAUAAACUAGCAUUGUAAUUUCAAAACCCAACAUUUUGUAUUGUGACAAUACUUGUUUGCAAAUAUGCAUCCUUCAUUUACUUUUAUUUUUUUAACACUACACUGUGCCACAUCAGCACCAAAUAGAUCAAAAUCCUUGAUAAAUUAACCUCUAACAUGUAAAUAUUAUAUUCUCCACCCUUUCAGCUUUUAUUUUUAUUUUUUUUAACUUUUUGAAAUGCCACGUCAGCUAC
rnacentral:lncRNA from 1 species